rnacentral:rRNA from 1 species
AGAGUUUGAUCAUGGCUCAGGACGAACGCUGGCGGCGUGCUUAACACAUGCAAGUCGAGCGGUAAGGCCCUUCGGGGUACACGAGCGGCGAACGGGUGAGUAACACGUGAGUAAUCUGCCCUUCACUUUGGGAUAACUCCGGGAAACCGGGGCUAAUACCGGAUAUGACUACUGGCCGCAUGGUCUGGUGGUGGAAAGUUCUGGCGGUGGAGGAUGAGCUCGCGGCCUAUCAGCUUGUUGGUGAGGUAGUGGCUCACCAAGGCUUCGACGGGUAGCCGGCCUGAGAGGGCGACCGGCCACACUGGGACUGAAACACGGGCCAGACUCCUACGGGAGGCAGCAGUGGGGAAUCUUGCACAAUGGGGGAAACCCUGAUGCAGCGACGCCGCGUGAGUGAUGAAGCCCUUCGGGGUGUAAAGCUCUUUCGGCAGGGACGAUAAUGACGGUACCUGAAGAAGAAGCUGCGGCUAACUACGUGCCAGCAGCCGCGGUAAUACGUAGGCAGCGAGCGUUGUUCGGAGUUACUGGGCGUAAAGAGUGCGUAGGCGGUUUUCUAAGUUUGGUGUGAAAUCUCCCGGCUUAACUGGGAGGGUGCGCCGAAGACUGGAAGGCUUGGGUAUGGGAGAGGUAAGCGGAAUUCCUGGUGUAGCGGUGAAAUGCGUAGAUAUCAGGAGGAACACCUGCGGUGUAGACGGCUUACUGGACCAUUACUGACGCUGAGGCACGAAAGCGUGGGUAGCAAACAGGAUUAGAUACCCCCGUAGUCC